AUUGAACGCUGGCGGCAGGCUUAACACAUGCAAGUCGAGCGGGGGAAGGUAGCUUGCUACCGGACCUAGCGGCGGACGGGUGAGUAAUGCUUAGGAAUCUGCCUAUUAGUGGGGGACAACAUCUCGAAAGGGAUGCUAAUACCGCAUACGUCCUACGGGAGAAAGCAGGGGAUCUUCGGACCUUGCGCUAAUAGAUGAGCCUAAGUCGGAUUAGCUAGUUGGUGGGGUAAAGGCCUACCAAGGCGACGAUCUGUAGCGGGUCUGAGAGGAUGAUCCGCCACACUGGGACUGAGACACGGCCCAGACUCCUAGGGGAGGCAGCAGUGGGGAAUAUUGGACAAUGGGGGGAACCCUGAUCCAGCCAUGCCGCGUGUGUGAAGAAGGCCUUAUGGUUGUAAAGCACUUUAAGCGAGGAGGAGGCUACUCUAGUUAAUACCUAGGGAUAGUGGACGUUACUCGCAGAAUAAGCACCGGCUAACUCUGUGCCAGCCGCCGCGGUAA
rnacentral:rRNA from 1 species